rnacentral:rRNA from 1 species
AUUGAACGCUGGCGGCAGGCCUAACACAUGUAAGUCGAGCGGUUGACGGGAGCUUGCUCCCUGAUUCAGCGGCGGACGGGUGAGUAAUGCCUAGGAAUCUGCCUAUUAGUGGGGGACAACGUUUCGAAAGGAACGCUAAUACCGCAUACGUCCUACGGGAGAAAGCAGGGGACCUUCGGGCCUUGCGCUAAUAGAUGAGCCUAGGUCGGAUUAGCUUGUUGGUGAGGUAAUGGCUCACCAAGGCGACGAUCCGUAACUGGUCUGAGAGGAUGAUCAGUCACACUGGAACGGAGACAAGGUCCAGACUCCUACGGGAGGCAGCAGUGGGGAAUAUUGGACAAUGGGCGAAGCCUGAUCCAGCCAUGCCGCGUGUGUGAAGAAGGUCUUCGGAUUGUAAAGCACUUUAAGUUGGGAGGAAGGGUUGUAGAUUAAUACUCUGCAAUUUUGGCGUUACCGACAGAAUAAGCACCGGCUAACUCUGUGCCAGCCGCCGCCGUAAGAC